GCCUUCGUGGUAUAACGGUAGUACACUCGACGUGUAUUCAAGAGGUCCAGGCUCGAGUCCCGGCGAUGGCA
rfam:Stegodyphus mimosarum contig58094, whole genome shotgun sequence.